rnacentral:rRNA from 1 species
GCCUACGGGGGGCAGCAGUGAGGAAUAUCGGUCAAUGGGCGCGAGCCUGAACCAGCCAAGUCGCGUGAGGGAAGACGGUCCUAUGGAUUGUAAACCUCUUUUGUCGGGGAGCAAAAGACGCCACGCGUGGCGUUCCGAGAGUACCCGAAGAAAAAGCAUCGGCUAACUCCGUGCCAGCAGCCGCGGUAAUACGGAGGAUGCGAGCGUUAUCCGGAUUUAUUGGGUUUAAAGGGUGCGUAGGCGGACUGUCAAGUCAGCGGUAAGAUACGGGGGCUCAACCUCCUCCCGCCGUUUAAACU